GUGCUGUGUCACUAGGUUCCCCAUCCUCAGCUUCUGAGAGCUGCAGACAUGGGGUAGCCCUGUGACACUCCCCCACACAUGUCCUCUGUCACCCACGUGUGGGCCCUAGUUUCCUUCCCAGACAGCAACUACAGCCAGACAUGCUGAGGCCUGCAGAAUUUCUCUUCCCACAUGAAUGACUGGGCCACUCUAUGCACAGCACAGCCCUGUGAGGUUUUCCUGGCAUUUGUUCCUGCCUGUGGCAGUCUGAGAUAUACCGGGACCCUGUAACCUUCAAAUCAGUCAUCUUUCCAACUAAGGACCUCUGGAUUCUUCCAUCCACCACUGCCAUGUCUGGACUCUUCGGACUGUGGAUAAGAGGACACUGGAAUCGACUUUCUCCGCAAUGCUUGGGCCAACAGUAGGCGAGUCUUCCUAAAGAACCUAAUCCACAGGUCUCACGCUGUCAGCAGAAGAAAACAAGACUUCCUAUGCUUUCCUUCCAUCAUUCCUCACCAUGCAAGCAUUAAUGCUAAUGGAGGGAAGCACAAAAGUAAGAACUGGGGCUGGAGAGAUGGCUCAGAGGUUAAAAGCACUGACUGCUCUUCCAGAGGUCCUGAGUUCAAUUCCCAGCAACCACAUGAUGGCUCACAACCGUCUGCAAUGAGAUCCGAUGCCCUCUUCUGACAUGCAGACAAACAUGCAGACAGAACACUGUAUACAUGAUAAAUAAAUAAAUAAAUCUUAAAAAAAGGAAAAAAGGUAAGAACUGAAUCAAGCUAUUGGCUCCCAGGGUCCCAGC
rnacentral:lncRNA from 1 species